GGUGGGACCUGGGGCCACCCGGGUUCAGACUCCGUUUCCAACCCUUGGUGCUGCGGCAGGUCUUCCCUGAGGACUUCAGGUUGGAAUCAGAUUGCAGAAUCGCCAGCAGGUGGCGCGGUCGGCCCAUCUGCUCUACCAGGUCAGGGCUCUGGGAGCACCACGAUUGGCUGCGGUGCUGCGUCUGUUGCUUUCUGAGCGUGGGAUCUGGAGAUCUGUUCCAACCUACUGACGUCGGCAGCUGCCAAGGGCAAUAGCUCCUCCCUCUCCUCCGCCCCGCUCGGGGUGCGCUCCGGGGAGAGGGU
rnacentral:lncRNA from 1 species